rnacentral:rRNA from 1 species
CCUACGGGAUGCAGCAGUGAGGAAUAUUGGUCAAUGUACGAGAGUCUGAACCAGCCAAGUAGCGUGAAGGAUGACUGCCCUAUGGGUUGUAAACUUCUUUUAUAUGGGAAUAAAACAGGGUAUGCAUACCCUCUUGUAUGUACCAUAUGAAUAAGGCUCGGCUAACUCCGUGCCAGCAGCCGCGGUAAUACGGAGGAUCCGAGCGUUAGCCGGAUUUAUUGGGUUUAAAGGGAGCGUAGGUGGAUUGUUAAGUCAGUUGUGAAAGUUUGCGGCUCAACCGUAAAAUUGCAGUUGAAACUGGCAGUCGUGAGUACAGUAGAGGUGGGCGGAAUUCGUGGUGUAGCGGUGAAAUGCUGAGAUAUCACGAAGAACUCCGAUUGCGAAGGCAGCUCACUGGACUGCAACUGACACUGAUGCUCGAAAGUGUGGGUAUCAAACAGGAUUAGAUACCCUUGUAGUC